CCUACGGGAGGCAGCAGUAAGGAAUAUUGGUCAAUGGGCGCAAGCCUGAACCAGCCAUGCCGCGUGCAGGAAGACGGCCCUAUGGGUUGUAAACUGCUUUUGAACAAGAGAAAACCUCGGUACGUGUACCGAGCUGAUAGUAUUGUUAGAAUAAGCAUCGGCUAACUUCGUGCCAGCAGCCGCGGUAAGACGAAGGAUGCAAGCGUUAUCCGGAUUCAUUGGGUUUAAAGGGUGCGUAGGCGGCCUGAUAAGUCAGUGGUGAAAUCUCUCAGCUUAACUGAGAAACUGCCAUUGAUACUGUCGGGCUUGAGUACAGAUGAUGUGGGCGGAAUAUGACAUGUAGUGGUGAAAUACUUAGAUAUGUCAUAGAACACCGAUUGCGAAGGCAGCUCACAAAACUGUAACUGACGCUGAGGCACGAAAGUGCGGGGAUCAAACAGGAUUAGAUACCCUGGUAGUCCGCACCGUAAACGAUGAUUACUCGUUGUUGGCAAUAUGACCGUCAGCGACCAAGCGAAAGCGANAAGAAUCCACCUGGGGAGUACGCCGGCAACGGUGAAACGUCAAAGAGUAGAGG
rnacentral:rRNA from 1 species